CAUGCUGCACACAAACUCAACCAGGAUUUUGAUUUCGAUGAAAACCUCAAUUCAAGGACAGUACAACAAGCAGAACUUCCGUUGGAGGCCUAAAGGAUGAACGUCAGGAAAAGGGAGAUGUUCUGCGACUGACUGUUCAACCCCGAUCAACAAGAAUGUCCCAGCUUGCUGAACUGUUGGAAUCAUGAAAUGAUUUAGAAGCCGAAGGAACUGGCCGUGGAUCUUUAUAUCGAACUGAUAAGUUGACAUAUCGGCUUAGAAGAGAAUAUCCACAGAUCUCUUUCCUUGAUAUAUGCGACAUCAUCUACACCGCUACUUUAUCUGCUGGAGGUGUGGUUGAAUCUCUGGGGACUUCAGAGGAGGAUUCAAAACUAAAACUUUGGCUUAGAAAGCAAGACAUACGCUCCAUCCUGUUGUUAUGCCAUUACUGCACAAGAUUUGAUGAGAACUUUGAUGUAGUGAUAACAUUUACUUGAAGUUGUAUCAGCACGACUAGUUAGCAUUUGACAUUAUAAUGAAAAUAAUGAGUAACUCUAGAUUUCAAAACUACAUAAUUGUAUCCUUCUGUUCAUUAGUGUUGGUUUUAUUCAUUUCAAUUCUUUUCAAUUAUUAAAAAUUAGUUCCAGUAAAAAAAGGCAAAUUCUGUGAAUUUUAACAGUGAGACUAGCCACAUAUGACAAGCCAAAUCACUCUCUUUAAUGUGUAAGCAUACAAAAUAGCAUGAGUUAUGGUUUUGUUUUCUUUUUAUUGAUAUACAUGCAAACAUUUAUACGUGCUAAUCAAU